AGGAGAGUUUGAUCCUGGCUCAGAACGAACGCUGGCGGCGUGCUUAACACAUGCAAGUCGAACGGGGCGAAGAGGAGCUUGCUCUUCCUAGCCUAGUGGCAAACGGGUGAGUAACGCGUAGGCAACCUGCCCUUCAGAUGGGGACAACAUUUCGAAAGGAAUGCUAAUACCGAAUGACGUAUCCUGGUCGCAUGACCUAGAUACCAAAGGCUGGGCAACCGGUCACUGAAGGAUGGGCCUGCGUCUGAUUAGCUAGUUGGUGGGGUAACGGCCCACCAAGGCGACGAUCAGUAGCCGGUCUGAGAGGAUGAACGGCCACAUUGGGACUGAGACACGGCCCAAACUCCUACGGGAGGCAGCAGUGGGGAAUCUUCCGCAAUGGGCGCAAGCCUGACGGAGCAACGCCGCGUGAGUGAAGAAGGUUUUCGGAUCGUAAAGCUCUGUUGUCAGGGACGAGAGACUUGAUCAGGAAAUGGGUCAAGGAGGACGGUACCUGGCGAGAAAGCCACGGCUAACUACGUGCCAGCAGCCGCGGUAAUACGUAGGUGGCGAGCGUUGUCCGGAAUUAUUGGGCGUAAAGGGAGCGCAGGUGGGAUUGUAAGUCAGUCUUAAAAGUUCGGGGCUCAACCCCGUGAUGGGAUUGAAACUACAAUUCUUGAGUGCUGCAGAAGUGGGCGGAAUUCCUUGUGUAGCGGUGAAAUGCGUAGAAAUAAGGAAGAACACCACUGGCGAAGGCGGUUUCCUGUACUGUAACUGACGCUGAGGCGCGAGAGCGUGGGGAGCAAACAUGAUUAGAUACCCUGGUAGUCCCCU
rnacentral:rRNA from 1 species